GUUUGUGGAAACACCACGUAAAUUUAUUACUGCAAAGCUUUCGAUCAUAUUAUCAGCACUGAUGAAGAUCCGGGCUUACGGAUCGAAAGCUUUGCAGUAAUAAAUUUACGUGGUGUUUCCACAAACAAAACUAU
rnacentral:miRNA from 1 species